rnacentral:rRNA from 1 species
AAGGCUUCAGUACGACCAGGUCAGAACUAUAAGUCUCAAAGCCCCGACGAGUAGGGUGGCGUGCCGGUGCGCGUUGAAGGCCAAGACGUGAGUCAGGCUGGAGCCGCCGGUAGUGCAUAUCUUGGUGGUAGUAGCAAGUACUCUGGUGAACCAACCUGGAGCUGUGAGGUCUGGAUCAGGGUUCCAUGUCAACAGUGAUUGAACAUGGGUGAGUCGAUCCUAAGCCAACUGUGAAAGCAGUGACAUCCCGACAAAGGGGCAGUACAUGCGCUGCACUUACACCCCCAAAAGCUCUCAUGCAUAACUCUCUCAGUCUGUGACGAUCUGGUACGGGAAAAGCGCACGCACGUUGAUCGCUAUACAAAUACGUGUGAGUGUGUGCGCUGUUGUCUGGUUACGCUCAUAAGCGUUGAGGCUUUCUGGUAUAUAAAACGAGAGAGAGAGAGCGGGUGAGCGUGAGAUUGCCCUCGCAUGAGCCUCCUGCGUCUGGUUCUAUGUCUGGCGAAAGGGAAUGGGGACUUUGUUCCUUGACCGGUCCCGGCACCCUCGAUUGGCUUUGCCAAUUAAUGGUCCAUGCAAAUGGAACCAGGCCACAGCCGCCGGCAGUCGCCCGAGGAAGAGUUUUCUUUUCUGCUUAACGCACGAGGUCAUCCCUGGAAACAGUUCGGCUGGCGAAAGGGUGCCCCGUUGCGGCAGAGCGCCACGACUGUCGUGCGCGUCUCGGUGUUCCUGCCGGUCCGUGAAGACGUGGUCGAGGGGAUUGCUCUUGUAUCAACGAAACGCCCGACAAGUUCGGGACGGACCGUACCCUAUAUCCGCAUCUGGUCUCCAAGGUUCGUAGCCUCUGCAGAGUCAGACACAUGUAGGUAAGGGAAGUCGGCAAACUCGAUCCGUAACUUCGGGAAAAGGAUUGGCUCUGAGGGCCGAGCUGGGCCGGGCCUUGCCUGCAAAGCAGUACCUAUAGUGACCGGAGUUUCAGGAGUGCGAGGGGCUCUAGUAGCUGCUUGUGCGUGUGUGCGUUCGCGCGUGCGCGCGUGUGGGCACGAACGAGUCCACCGCUCCGCUCCAACCACGAACGGCUGUGACGGCAAGGGCUCUGGGCGGGAGCGAUCAACCCGUUGGCCCCCAGCUCGUCUGGGUGGCGGCGGUGCUCCGUCUGACCCAUACGGCUCCAGCGGCUAGCGGCUAACUCAGAACUGUCAUGGACCAAGGGAAUCCGACUGUCUAAUUAAAACAAAGCGUCGUGACGGCCCCUGUUGGGUGUUGACGCGACGUGAUUUC